CACGCAGGCGGUCCGUUGAAUUAGGAGUGAAAGCCCUGGGCUCAACCCGGGAAUUGCUUUUAAGACUGGCGGACUUGAAUCCGGAAGAGGGCAGUGGAAUUCCCAGUGUAGAGGUGAAAUUCGUAGAUAUUGGGAAGAACACCAGUGGCGAAGGCGACUGCCUGGCCCGGCAUUGACGCUCAUGUGCGAAAGCGUGGGAGCAAACAGGAUUAGAUACCCUGGUAGUCCACGCCGUAAACGAUGAGUGCUAGUUGUUGGGGUGCUUGCACCUCAGUGACGCAACUAACGCAUUAAGCACUCCGCCUGGGGAGUACGGCCGCAAAGUUAAA
rnacentral:rRNA from 1 species